AGCACUUCCUCUUCCUGCUGCCACGAGAAGAAGGAUGUGUUUGCUUCCCCUUUUGCCACGACCGACCGACCAUAAGUUUCCUGAGGCCACCCCAGACCUGCAGAAUUGGGCCAACUUGAUUUUUCUGAAAUACCUUGAAAGUUUGAAUCAAAAAAUCAGAAACAAGUUUUUCUUCUGCGUUAACAGUUCCAAGGAGCAGAUUAUAUCCUUUCAGCUCUGGGAACAGGACAGAUUCCACCUGAAGAGUAAACACCACUUUUGCAUGUUGCAAGACUUAAGAAGGGAGAUGGUACCCAAAUGCAAAGCCUUCUCUAAUGCACUCAUUUCCAGGGCUGCCAGCUGCAUUUUUACUCUAUUUCCUCUUAGAUAGUGCUGGAAUCACCCUGCUGUUUCCUCUACCUCUGUUCUCUCUCCUUUCCUUCUUGCCUGGAUUACUCAUCUUUCAAAUCCCUGACCUUUCAAGGGUCUUGUCCUUUGAGAGUCCCCCUUGUCCUGCUCACCGCCCCACAACGCUCCAGUGGAUGUUGGUUUCCCUGUUUCAGGCUCACCUUCUGAACUUUUCCUGCUUAGCACUCAUCACAAUUGCAAUUAGAUGAAUGUGUAAUGAGAUGUUCUAGGUGUGUCAUAGAAUACAAAUUCCAUGAAGGUCUGGAUCAUAUUUGACUUCUUCACUGUUAUAUCCCCAGGGCCUAGCAAAAGCUUGGCACUUGGUAAGUGCUCAAAAAAUACUGGGUGAGUCAAUGAAUACUAUCGUAGUGCUCCCCUCCUCCCCUACUACCCAGUUUUCCUCUCUAAUGAAAAUUCUGGAGACGUGGAUUCUAAUUCUGAAUCUGCCACUGAGGGACAAUGUGACCUUAGGUAAACUACUUCUCUCGUGGGUUUUUUUUUGUUUUGUUUUGUUUUUUUGAGACAGUCUCACUCUAUGGCCCAGGCUGGAGUGCAGUGGCACGAUCUGGGCUCAUUGCUACCUCUGCCUCCUGGGCUCAAGCGAUUCUCCUGCCUCAGCCUCCCGAGUAGCUGGGAUUACAGGCAUGCACCACCAUACCCAGCUAAUUUUUGUAUUUUUAGUAGAGACAGAGCUUCACCAUGUUGGCCAGGCUUGUCUCAAACCUCAAGCAAUCCACCUGCCUCAGCCUCACAAAGUGCUGGGAUUACAGGCAUGAGGCACCACAUCUGGCCUAAACUACUUCUCUGAAUCCCCAUUUUCUCAUCUGUAAAAAAGAAGAGAUGUACUAGAUUCUCCUCUAAGCCCAGAGAAAACAAACGAUGGCUUUAUGAUCAUGAGGCACUGAAAGUAUCUUCUGAGAGAAUUCAUACUCUCUAACUUCUUUUUAUUUAUUUAUUUUUUUAAAGAGAUGGUCUCACUCUGUCACCCAGGCUGGAGUGCAGUGGCACCAUCAUAGCUCCUAUGCUAUGUGACUCCUCAGCUCAAGCAGUCUUCCUACCUCAGCCUCCUGAGUAGCUGGAGCUACAGGUGCCUGCGACCAUGCCUAAUUUUCUUAUUUUUAUUUAUAUUUUUGUACAGACAGGGGCUCUCUCUAUGUUGCCCAGGUUGGUCUUGAACUGGUGGUCUGGCUUCACAACUUUCAGAAAAUGGAGGUGGACCUGUAAUUGUAUAUGAACCCUGGCCCUCGGCUCAGCCUCCAAAAGUAUUGAGAUUGCAGGCUUGAGUCUCCACGUCUAGUCACUCUAACUCCCUCAUGGCACGUGUGUGUCUCUGAGAAUGUUCUCACUUGCAUGGCUCAUGCAGGCUGCAAAGUUCCUGCCUGGGACCCAUUGUCUUCCAUUGUCCUCUCUGCUAAGAAAGAUUUUAGUGGCUGGUCUCAGAAAAGGUCUUCAGAGUGUUUCAGUGAGUUACAUGGGUUAUAUGCCUUUGAUGGAAAUGCAUCAAUUUAGAAAGGGGGAAAAUCAAGUGCAAAUGAUCUGUGUCUUGUUUGGCCAAUCCAGAGGUUUUGAAACCAGUGGAGGAGCAACUUCUUUGCUGCAGCCAUACUACAGACAGCUGCCAAAGGCAACGAGAUGGAGGGACUGGCACUGGUCAAUGCGUGAAUGAAAUGGUUUAGGGCAGCACAAUUGGUGCCCCCAGGCCAUGUGACAGAUCACAAGUGGGCAGGAUAAUGGAUCGUCUCAUGGGAAGAAGUCUUCAAACUUAAGAGGAUGAAAUACCUCUUGCUGCUCUUUCAAUGUGGUGGAUUCUCUUAUGCCCUGUAGAGCAGUCUGUGAAAUGGAGUCAAGAACAAUCGCAUUCGGCCGGGUGUGGUGGCUCAUACCUAUAAUCCCCACACUUUGGGAGGCAGAGGCAGGCAGAUCGCUUGAGCUCACGAGUUCAAGACCAGCCUGGGCAACGUGGCGGAACCCUGUCUCUACAAAAUACAAAAAUAAGCCGGGCAUGGUGGUGCACACCUGUUAUCCCAGCUACUUGGGAGGCUGAGAUGGGAGGAUGGCUUGAGCCUGGGAGGUAGAGGUUGCCUCCCGGGCUCAAGCAGAAAAAAAAAAAUUCUUUUUUUUUUUUGAGAUGGAGUUUCACUCUUGUUGCCCAGGCUGGAGUGCAAUGGCGCAAUCUAGGCUCACUGUAACCUCCGCCUCCUGGGUUCAAGUGAUUCUCCUGCCUCAGCCUCCCGAGUAGCUGGGACUACAGGCACCCGCCACCACACCCGGCUAAUUUUUUGUAUUUUUAGUAGAGACGGGGUUUCACCAUGUUGGCUAGGCUGGUAUUGAACUCCUGACCUCAGAUGAUCCAGCCAUCUCGGCUAAUUUUUUGUAUUUUUAGUAGAGACGGGGUUUCACCAUGUUGGCCAGGCUGGUAUUGAACGCCUGACCUCAGGUGAUCCAGCCAUCUUGGCCUACCAAAGUGCUGGGAUUACAGGUGUGAGCCACUGUGCCUAGCCCCUUUAAUAAUUAUUUCUCACAAAUAUGCUUUCCUGCUUUCUUUCUGUGUCUUGAAUAAUGCUAUUUACUCUAUUUUCUAUUUUCAAAAGUCUCUUGUUAGCUUUUCCCUACCAACUUUUUUUUUUUUUUUUUUGACAGAGUCUCACUCUGUUGCCCAGGCUGGAGUGCAAUGGUGCAAUCAUAGCUCACUGCACCCUUGAACUUCUGGGCUCAAGCGAUCCUCCUGCCUCAGCCUCCUGAGUAGCUAGGACUACAGACGUGUGCCACCACCCCAGCUAAUUUAAUUUUGUAGAGAUGAGGUCUUGCUAUAUUGCCCAGGCUGAUAUUGAACUCCUGGCCUCAAGCAAUCUUCCUGCUUCUCGACCUCCCAAAGCUCUAAAAUUAUAGGUGUGAGCCACCAUGAUUGACCUUAACUAACUUUUAAAAUUCUUUUUAAACCAUAUAUACGGCAGAUCUUGCAGUGAGUGAAGGUAACACCCACCAGUUGCCAUUCUUAAAGAUUUUUCUUAGUCAACCUGCAGGACUAUGUUUUUAAGUCUUCACUAACCAGUUCAGAGAUAAAACAGUCUGAGGGGCUUAAGGAGGAAGCUAGGGCUGUGGGUGUCACUAGAUGGGGAACUCAGUCUACGUUGUUUUUCCUUAUUGUCUCGUAAAGUCAUUGGUAUUCACAUAGGCCUUGUUUUCAAACCUGGUACAAACCAUGUCUUCUUGGCAUUGUAAUUCAUCAAAUGUAGUACCGGCCCUGGUACCUGCCAUUGCAGUGGCAGCCGCGUGCAUGCUGGGCUCUCCUGGCUCAGCUGCUUUCACACAUUGCCGAUCAGCAGCAGCAGCAGUGAAGGAGAACUUAAGUGGUAUGUAUUUCAGCUGUCCCCAUACAUAGUCAUCCAAAUUACAGGGUCUUUUCUUCCAUUUCCUUCCUAGGGAUACUGGUUGUAGGAGAGCUGCCCAGUGUUUCUUCUCCUCCCACACACCCAGUUUUAAUGGAGUACUUAGAACCCUGUAAGUACCAGAUUGCAAAGAGAAGAAUGCUUGGGCCUCCUUGCACUGCAACCUUGAACUCCUGGGCAUUCGUUUCACAUGAGCAAGGCCCAUGUGAAGCAUACAUAAUGCAUGGAGAGAGUGAGAAGGUGGAAGGGUGAGGGAGCUAGCCAGCAAGACCCCACAGAUCCCUUCCCUAUAUGGAACUGGACAAUGGCCCUUUGGUCAUACCAACCAAUCAGAGGGAGUGAGGAAAAGAUGGAGCUAAAAGGAGUUACAUCCAUGUGCAUGAUCCUGUCUAGUAAUAAAAGUUUGUUAAUAA